CCGCCAACAAUGGAUUAAAAAAUAUAGACAACAGUUUUAUUUAAAUAACUCUCCAAAUGAUGAUUUAGAGAGAUAGUUUCAUGAAUACUCUUAGAGAUGCUUUAAGACCCUUAAACUUAAGGUCCGUACUAAAUUAGCGACAAGUCAUUUUUCUUUCUCGUUUCAAAAUAAAUUAGGAGCAGACAAAAAAUAUAAUUUUUUUCACCUGCUUCAGCUCAUCUACACUUCGGUAGCAAGAAAGUCCAAAUUGUUUAGACUUUAGAGGCAUAGCAUAGAGAACCUUAAUCGGUGAAACUUAUGUUGUCAAAAAAAAAAAAUCGGUGAAACUUAAGGCCUG
rnacentral:lncRNA from 1 species